UGGGGAAUUUUGGACAAUGGGGGAAACCCUGAUCCAGCCAUCCCGCGUGUGCGAUGAAGGCCUUCGGGUUGUAAAGCACUUUUGGCAGGAAAGAAACGUCGCGGGUUAAUACCCCGCGAAACUGACGGUACCUGCAGAAUAAGCACCGGCUAACUACGUGCCAGCAGCCGCGGUAAUACGUAGGGUGCAAGCGUUAAUCGGAAUUACUGGGCGUAAAGCGUGCGCAGGCGGUUCGGAAAGAAAGAUGUGAAAUCCCAGAGCUUAACUUUGGAACUGCAUUUUUAACUACCGGGCUAGAGUGUGUCAGAGGGAGGUGGAAUUCCGCGUGUAGCAGUGAAAUGCGUAGAUAUGCGGAGGAACACCGAUGGCGAAGGCAGCCUCCUGGGAUAACACUGACGCUCAUGCACGAAAGCGUGGGGAGCAAACAGGAUUAGAUACCCUGGUAGUCCACGCCCUAAACGAUGUCAACUAGCUGUUGGGGCCUUCGGGCCUUGGUAGCGCAGCUAACGCGUGAAGUUGACCGCCUGGGGAGUACGGUCGCAAGAUUAAAACUCAAAGGAAUUGACGGGGUCAUAGCUG
rnacentral:rRNA from 1 species